UCAAGAAUGGGUUGUGGAUAAGCUCGGUUUGCUGCAAUGUCUACGUGUAUCUUCCAGUAGUGCCAUGAUUUUCUACAGCUUUUCUUAUUGCAUGAUGCUAGGUUUGGGUGUGCCAUCUCAUCACUAACUCAUCUCAUUGCCUUGCACUAUAACAACCUCAUAUCCAAGCAUCUUUUAGAAAAAUGGUAGUGAGAAACAUGUAAGGAUCAGCGUACUGUCACUUGUUUUGCUAUCCUCAGGGUUCCAGCGACAUUGAUCAACUGGGUAAGAUCUUUGCAGUGUUUGGAACUCCUCGAGAAGCCAGAUAUGACCUCCCUCCCUGAUUAUGUUGAAUACCAGUACUCUCCUCCUCAGCCCUUUCGCAUUUUGUUUCCUCAAGCGAGUGAAUGUUCACGUACGACCCGAAGCAAAGAAUCACUGCUCAGCAAGCACUAGAACAUAGUACGGAUAGAUAGUAUUUGAAGAGGAAGCUAGGUAUGGACAUUUUCCUUACUCCUGCACGGCGAUGAAGAUCACCGUCUACCAAUCACCCCAACCCGUAGUCACUACAUCUGUUGUUAAUUGUAUUUAUCAAGGUCAUUUAUUGAAACACAAAGUUGCAGAGAAUGAACUCGAAUGGAGUUAUCAGCGUUAGUGCAGCAGAGCUAGAUGAUUCACUCAGAAUCAAGUGAAUGAGGGUGCUCAUUAUGAAGGUCUUUAACAUCAGAGACCUUGCAUUUAAUUUAUUAGUAGUUUUAGGGUUUCGUAGCAUACAGUUGUAGAUGAUGGCUAUGAAAGCUAUGCAAUACCCUCAUCCAUGGAGACUCCAAAUGGCUGAAAUAUGGAGAGCAUUGAUAUGUUGGGUAGAAAAAACCAGGUGUGAGGGCACCUGUGCAACACCAACGUGAUCUUGUUUAAGGUUUUGCUUCUAGAUGCUCAUGAUUUUCUUAUGGUUUUACAAUAGUAUUUGAGGCUAAAACAAAUCUUAAAAAAAUUAAAUUAGAUGUAGAGAUUAGGGUAGAUUCUAACAGUUUUUAAGAAUUUGUCUUAAGAAUUCAAAGAUAUAGAUUAUUAGGAACAACUAGUUUUAAGAGUCAAAUUGUUCUCAUUGAGAUUUAUUUCCUAAUGGGUGUUAAGAAGUAUGGAAUUUGAGUUUCUCAUACAUAUAACAUAUUAUAUGGCUUCUGUAUUAAAACUCUAAUCUCCCAAAUAUUAGAGUUUAAAUACAAAGACAAAGAACAGUCCA